rnacentral:rRNA from 1 species
AGGCGAUGGACAACAGGUAGAAAUUCCUGUACCGGUGUAACACGUAUGAGUGAAGUGGUGACGCAGGAGGAGAAUCGAAUCGCACAAUUGGAUGUGCGUGCAAGUGACAAGCUGUCAUACCAGGCAAAUCCGGUAUGAGUGUAAGGUGAGUCAUGAUGCGGAGGGAAUUAUCCCGAAGUUCGAUAUUCACACUGCCAAGAAAACCCGCUAGCGAGUGUUAGACUGCCCGUACCGCAAACCGACACA